GGGUUGUGAGGUUAAGCGACUAAGCGUACACGGUGGAUGCCCUGGCAGUCAGAGGCGAUGAAGGACGUGCUAAUCUGCGAUAAGCGUCGGUGAGGUGAUAUGAACCGUUAUAACCGGCGAUUUCCGAAUGGGGAAACCCAGUGUGAUUCGUCACACUAUCAUUAACUGAAUCCAUAGGUUAAUGAGGCGAACCGGGGGAACUGAAACAUCUAAGUACCCCGAGGAAAAGAAAUCAACCGAGAUUCCCCCAGUAGCGGCGAGCGAACGGGGAGGAGCCCAGAGCCUGAAUCAGUGUGUGUGUUAGUGGAAGCGUCUGGAAAGGCGCGCGAUACAGGGUGACAGCCCCGUACACAAAAAUGCACAUAUUGUGAGCUCGAUGAGUAGGGCGGGACACGUGGUAUCCUGUCUGAAUAUGGGGGGACCAUCCUCCAAGGCUAAAUACUCCUGACUGACCGAUAGUGAACCAGUACCGUGAGGGAAAGGCGAAAAGAACCCCGGCGAGGGGAGUGAAAAAGAACCUGAAACCGUGUACGUACAAGCAGUGGGAGCCUCUUAAUGGGGUGACUGCGUACCUUUUGUAUAAUGGGUCAGCGACUUAUAUUCUGUAGCAAGGUUAACCGAAUAGGGGAGCCGAAGGGAAACCGAGUCUUAACUGGGCGUUAAGUUGCAGGGUAUAGACCCGAAACCCGGUGAUCUAGCCAUGGGCAGGUUGAAGGUUGGGUAACACUAACUGGAGGACCGAACCGACUAAUGUUGAAAAAUUAGCGGAUGACUUGUGGCUGGGGGUGAAAGGCCAAUCAAACCGGGAGAUAGCUGGUUCUCCCCGAAAGCUAUUUAGGUAGCGCCUCGUGAAUUCAUCUCCGGGGGUAGAGCACUGUUUCGGCAAGGGGGUCAUCCCGACUUACCAACCCGAUGCAAACUGCGAAUACCGGAGAAUGUUAUCACGGGAGACACACGGCGGGUGCUAACGUCCGUCGUGAAGAGGGAAACAACCCAGACCGCCAGCUAAGGUCCCAAAGUCAUGGUUAAGUGGGAAACGAUGUGGGAAGGCCCAGACAGCCAGGAUGUUGGCUUAGAAGCAGCCAUCAUUUAAAGAAAGCGUAAUAGCUCACUGGUCGAGUCGGCCUGCGCGGAAGAUGUAACGGGGCUAAACCAUGCACCGAAGCUGCGGCAGCGACACUAUGUGUUGUUGGGUAGGGGAGCGUUCUGUAAGCCUGUGAAGGUGGCCUGUGAGGGUUGCUGGAGGUAUCAGAAGUGCGAAUGCUGACAUAAGUAACGAUAAAGCGGGUGAAAAGCCCGCUCGCCGGAAGACCAAGGGUUCCUGUCCAACGUUAAUCGGGGCAGGGUGAGUCGACCCCUAAGGCGAGGCCGAAAGGCGUAGUCGAUGGGAAACAGGUUAAUAUUCCUGUACUUGGUGUUACUGCGAAGGGGGGACGGAGAAGGCUAUGUUGGCCGGGCGACGGUUGUCCCGGUUUAAGCGUGUAGGCUGGUUUUCCAGGCAAAUCCGGAAAACCAAGGCUGAGGCGUGAUGACGAGGCACUACGGUGCUGAAGCGACAAAUGCCCUGCUUCCAGGAAAAGCCUCUAAGCAUCAGGUAACAUCAAAUCGUACCCCAAACCGACACAGGUGGUCAGGUAGAGAAUACCAAGGCGCUUGAGAGAACUCGGGUGAAGGAACUAGGCAAAAUGGUGCCGUAACUUCGGGAGAAGGCACGCUGAUAUGUAGGUGAAGCGACUUGCUCGUGGAGCUGAAAUCAGUCGAAGAUACCAGCUGGCUGCAACUGUUUAUUAAAAACACAGCACUGUGCAAACACGAAAGUGGACGUAUACGGUGUGACGCCUGCCCGGUGCCGGAAGGUUAAUUGAUGGGGUUAGCGGUAACGCGAAGCUCUUGAUCGAAGCCCCGGUAAACGGCGGCCGUAACUAUAACGGUCCUAAGGUAGCGAAAUUCCUUGUCGGGUAAGUUCCGACCUGCACGAAUGGCGUAAUGAUGGCCAGGCUGUCUCCACCCGAGACUCAGUGAAAUUGAACUCGCUGUGAAGAUGCAGUGUACCCGCGGCAAGACGGAAAGACCCCGUGAACCUUUACUAUAGCUUGACACUGAACAUUGAGCCUUGAUGUGUAGGAUAGGUGGGAGGCUUUGAAGUGUGGACGCCAGUCUGCAUGGAGCCGACCUUGAAAUACCACCCUUUAAUGUUUGAUGUUCUAACGUGGGCCCCUAAUCGGGGUUGCGGACAGUGUCUGGUGGGUAGUUUGACUGGGGCGGUCUCCUCCUAAAGAGUAACGGAGGAGCACGAAGGUUGGCUAAUCCUGGUCGGACAUCAGGAGGUUAGUGCAAUGGCAUAAGCCAGCUUGACUGCGAGCGUGACGGCGCGAGCAGGUGCGAAAGCAGGUCAUAGUGAUCCGGUGGUUCUGAAUGGAAGGGCCAUCGCUCAACGGAUAAAAGGUACUCCGGGGAUAACAGGCUGAUACCGCCCAAGAGUUCAUAUCGACGGCGGUGUUUGGCACCUCGAUGUCGGCUCAUCACAUCCUGGGGCUGAAGUAGGUCCCAAGGGUAUGGCUGUUCGCCAUUUAAAGUGGUACGCGAGCUGGGUUUAGAACGUCGUGAGACAGUUCGGUCCCUAUCUGCCGUGGGCGCUGGAGAACUGAGGGGGCUGCUCCUAGUACGAGAGGACCGGAGUGGACGCAUCACUGGUGUUCGGGUUGUCAUGCCAAUGGCACUGCCCGGUAGCUAAAUGCGGAAGAGAUAAGUGCUGAAAGCAUCUAAGCACGAAACUUGCCCCGAGAUGAGUUCUCCCUGACUCCUUGAGGGUCCUGAAGGAACGUUGAAGACGACGACGUUGAUAGGCCGGGUGUGUAAGCGCAGCGAUGCGUUGAGCUAACCGGUACUAAUGAACCGUGAGGCUUAACCUUACAACGCCGAAG
rnacentral:rRNA from 1 species